rnacentral:lncRNA from 1 species
CCAGCUGGGUGGAGGGCACGCCCAAUAAUUGCUGGGGCGUUUACAUAUGUCAGGGGCGCGGAGAGCUGCAGGGCUGUGGGCGGUGAGAGGCUGCCUGCCUGUCCCGUUAUAGACUAGUAUUUUGAUCCCCUUUACAGCCGAGGUCUGAAAUAGCCCCCCGACGGGUGCGGCAGCUGCCGCCGAGUUGGGGAAACUUGGGACUUGCAGUGGGUUGGGGAGGGGGCGCUUUGCUCUCUGCUCCGCGCUGAGGGCCCCGCCUUCGCUGCCCGAGCAGGUAAGCGCAGGUGUCCCGCAGCCCCUCUGCGCGGGGGGUGGGGUGCCCCGCCUUCCGGUUCCGGGGAGGGGGAUGGCGGACGGCGGAGGCCCAGAGCCAGCCUUCGUCUGCGGUCAGGCGCCCCAGGAGCGCGCAGGUGCGCGAGCCCAGACGCUGGGAAUGCCAAUCCAGACCAGAGAGGAAGCACGCAACCGGAGGGGUGGAAUCUGCUACCGGAACUGAAGAGAGGUGCUCACCCGUGGUCCAGCAGCUGAACUACAAGUGCCAUACCCUGGAUAAGGACUCUCAGGGGCUCUC